AAAGGUACAUCUUGCAAACACAUUAAUCCCAAUGACUAUGUUGUCAUUAAUCACCAAAAUCAUAAUAGCCUAGGGUCAUUUUCCUUACACACUUCCAAGUGAUUGAGUCCAGAUUUUCUGUCUUGAAUGCGGAUCUCACGUAUCUUUAACUCACUUUACUCAAAUUUUGUUUCGCUGACCUAUAAAAAAAAUAAUUGUUUCAUUAGAGCGUUGGCUAAGUAAAAUGUAGUACUCAUGCAGUGGUAUC
rnacentral:lncRNA from 1 species